rnacentral:rRNA from 1 species
AGUGAACGCUGGCGGUAGGCCUAACACAUGCAAGUCGAACGGCAGCACAGUAAGAGCUUGCUCUUACGGGUGGCGAGUGGCGGACGGGUGAGGAGUACAUCGGAAUCUACUUUUUCGUGGGGGAUAACGUAGGGAAACUUACGCUAAUACCGCAUACGACCUACGGGUGAAAGCAGGGGAUCUUCGGACCUUGCGCGAUUGAAUGAGCCGAUGUCGGAUUAGCUAGUUGGCGGGGUAAAGGCCCACCAAGGCGACGAUCCGUAGCUGGUCUGAGAGGAUGAUCAGCCACACUGGUACUGAGACACGGUCCAGACUCCUACGGGAGGCAGCAGUGGGGAAUAUUGGACAAUGGGCGCAAGCCUGAUCCAGCCAUACCGCGUGGGUGAAGAAGGCCUUCGGGUUGUAAAGCCCUUUUGUUGGGAAAGAAAAGCAGCAGGUUAAUACCCCGCUGUUCUGACGGUACCCAAAGAAUAAGCACCGGCUAACUUCGUG